UUUCUGUUCAAGCUUCGUUUUUUAUACCUAUACAACAAUUCAUUUGGAGGGGAAAUCCCACCCAACAUAUCACGUUGCUCCAACCUUAUAGAACUCGAUUUAACUUUCAACAAUAUUGUGGGGAAAAUUCCAGUCGAACUUGGCACCUUGUCAAAGCUUCAAUUCCUUUUUUUACAUGACAACAGAUUGACCGGACAGAUCCCAACUUCCUUUGGGAAUCUUUCAUCCCUUGACACUAUUUCCAUAUCAUUCAAUGAUUUAAGUGGAAGUAUCCCAGAUUCCCUUGGCCAAUUGACAAGAUUAACGUUUCUCACACUUUGUGUAAAUAACUUGUCUGGUACUAUCCCUCCCACUUUAUAUAAUCUUUCCUCACUCGGUGUUUUUGAUGU